ensembl:snoRNA
CCCGCCACUGCACCUGACCAGUUGUGCUGGCGGUACAAUCAGUGGUGUGCUGAUGGUAAACCCCAGCUUAGGAAUCAAGGUUGUUCUUCAUGUGGAUGACUAUGCCGGAAGAGUUCGUGGACCAGCC